UUCUGACAAACAUGUGCUUUUCUUGCCAAGUGCCUUCUUCAUCAGGCUGUUACAUGUCGUGGUUGACAACUACAGUGACAAGCACUAAGAGAACGCCUCUUCUGUGUCUGAGACCGUGUCAGUGUUUUUUUUCCUUUUUUUUUUUUGUGGUACGCGGGCCUCUCACUGCUGUGGCCUCUCCUGUUGCGGAGCACAGGCUCCGGACGCGCAGGCUCAGUGGCCAUGGCUCACGGGCCCAGCCGCUCCGUGGCAUGUGGGAUCUCCCCAGACCGGGGCACGAACCCGUGUCCCCUGCAUCAGCAGGCGGACUCUCAACCACUGUGCCACCAGGGAAGCCCCCGUGUCAGUGUUUUUAUGUGUGUGUGCCAGGCAUUGCUUAUUUGCUCUUAGACCCAGUGUCACCCUUUUUCUCUGCUCUGUAUCUCCAGGAAUUACCUUUCCCAGGCCACCCUGUCUUCUGACCUCUCCCUCCUCCAGGCAAGGAGACUACAGGGUGGUGAAGGCCUUUCUCCCCGUUCCCAUCUGCCUUGUGUGGGCUCUCCACAUCCAGCUAGUUCUCUGUGGUGUUAAUUCUCCUGCCCCACCAUGGUCCUAGCUUCUGCUAGGGACCCUGACGCCUGGACUGUGUACAACUACCGCCUUCCUUUGACCUGCCGGCAGCCAAUCUCAGGAUGAGCUCUUUAUUCUGUUUGGUUCCUCUUAGCUCUUCCAUCCCCUGUGGAAUCAAACCCCUGCCUUGAAUCCUGUCUGUGUGAAAGACCUGGAGUGGUUUUGUUUCAUGACCAGUCCAUGCAGCUACAGCAUGAUAUUUACAUCUGACUUUGACAGCAUUCCUGGGAGGAGGUAAUACUAUUAUCUCCAUUUACAGACAAGGAAAUUGUGGCUCGAAAGACGCAAGUGAUGAGGCCAGUCUCAUAUAGUCCAUAAAUGGGAGCUCUGGGGCUCCAGUCCAGCACUCCCCAGAGGACAGGUGACUCUGACUGAGUGCAUUCCAGUGUCAGGCCUUGGGACCUGAGGGUGCCUAUAUGCACCGUCCCUUGUGGCCCUCACAGCCGCCCCGGUUAUGGAUGAGCACCCAGAGUUCAGAGUCGUUAGCUCGCCAAAGGUGCAAAGCUGGUAAGCAGCAGAGAAGAGAUUCAAACCAGAUCUUUUCUGACUCCAAGCUUGUUUUCUUUCUACUCCUACAAGCGCUUCCCAAAAGGUAGUGUGUAUCACAGCUGCAGCGGUGUGGUGUGGUUGAGAUAUAAAUUCCUAGUCCCUAACCCCCCGAAAUUCCAGUUCAGUAGCUUUGAGAAGGGGCUCAGGAACAGGCACUUUGCACAUCUGCCCUAAGUGAUGCUGAGGCAGAGGGUGUGGGAACGGCAUGGGGCCAACCUCAGCCUCCGUGCCUCCCGCCACCCACCUGUGACACCCAUGUAGCCUCUGCAUCCUCUCCCCACCUGCCUCAGUUUCCUUGUCUGUAAAGUGAAAAGUUGGACUGGAUAACCUCCAAGGUGAUCCUAGGUCUCUGCUGAGUCCCCUGUGCUGCCAAGGGGACCACUGCUGUGCCACUGAGCCCUCCCAGGGCACAGCUGAAGGCUGGGGGUCUGGGGUUUCUCAUGGAUCCCCCAGGCUGUGAGAUCCGACAGGAGCCCUGUGGCUUAAGAGUAAAGGGAAGCCCUGUUUAUCAGUUUGCAGUAGUUGGCAAACUGGCAUUUAAAAAAGGAAGUGAAUUGUGGGGUGCGGGUUUUAAUUCAGGGAGAUACUCGAAGAACUCAGUGUUUGCUCUGAGAGGUCAUUAAAUAAGUUUUGUUCCCACACUCACUGGAAAAAUGAUGCUUCAUUAAAAUGGCAACAUGAGGUGUAGAGAAAACGGUGAAAUUGGGAACCCUGAAAAGACACAUUCACUAGGUUCCACUUAAAAUGUAAAAGGAGUGUAAAGAAAACAAAUGGACAUUUUCUUGAGGCAGCUGAGCGAUACAAAACACAGGCAUCUUUGUCUCCUUCUUGAAAACUUCCACAAUGGGUUCUCCUUUCUUCCUCUUGACCAAUCUCUACUUCUAAGAGGUGUUGAGUUUCCGCCAAACUUUCUGCUCCGCUCGCAUCAAAGGCUGCCGUGUCGUGAAUAGUCAGCUCUCACCUACCGAUCCUCACCUGCCGACUCCUGCCCAGCGCACUUAGGUCAUUCACCAUAAUUAGCUCAUAGACAGAAUUUCCGGGCGGGGUCCGGGAGCAUCAGUCACAGGGAUGAAGGGGAGGUCGGUGCGUGGGAACCGCGGGAGGUGCCGGGCGCAGAGCGCGCAGUGGUCCCUACGACGCAGUCGCCGCAGAUCUGCCCGCGCGAUGCUGCGCGAUGCUGCGAUGCUGCCUCGGUUCCCCUCCGGCCACAUCUGUGCUCGACAGACAGGUCGUGUUCGUUUCCACACAGCCUCAGAGGUGCAGAAUACCCCAUGGGGGGAGGCAGGCGAAGUUUCUGUUCCUGCUGUCUCAUGCCCUCUCUACAUGGUUUCCAAAUGCGUCUGGCUUCCAGGUUGGGGUUUUCUUCGUACCGUUAGCGGUUCUGCGCUUGGGGGUGGGGAUGGAGUUGGGGGUUGGCGUGUUUAACAACUAAUGGUACGAGGGAGACUUGGCUUCUGCUUUGGGCCCCGCUGCUUUCUCCUUAAAGCCCUGAUUGCUCGUGUUUAAUUGUUUCAUCUAUAACAUGAAGGUGAUAGUUCAGAAUUAUUAGCUAAUAAUGAAUAAGAGCGAGGUCAGAACACUUUGAAAAUACAAAAUAACUUUACGUAUGACAUCCUCGGUUGCUGUUUACUAAUAUCCUUUACCGGGAGUCUGGGGUCUUGUUGGUGCAAGUGCCCCAGGCGGCCUCUUCCCCCGAAAGCUGGUUCCUGCUCUCUGACGCUGCAGAAAGCGCUGGGGCCUGCGAAACUGUGAGUUCAGCGCUAACCUAAGUCUGGUCGUUUUUGAUGCCUGUAUACUGUGUGCCUGUUCUCUGGGACCACCUCUCAGCACCACCUUGCCCAGCAGCUGAGUGCCCUGCCGUGCAUAGGGCAGGAGGAGGGCUGGACUCCAGCUCAGGCCGAGGGCCUGCUCCCGGGGGCUGUGUGCCGCUGCGCCUGGGGCACUUCCAGAUCCUGCAGCGCAGAGAGGUUUUCCUGGGGGAAGGGAGGGCACUUUGACACUAGAGAAAGCAAGUGGCCCAAACCUAGUGAAGUCUAAAGCAGCAUCAGGUCUAUGCUGUCCCCUGGUGGUCGUAUAUUGUACUACAGCCAGCUCUCGGAGUCUCUGUGAAGUUACAAUGAACUCUUCUUUUUCUAUCCUGCAGUAUGGAAGUCCAGAGACUUCAGGAGUCAGUCAAGAUAGCCUAAGGGCAAUGAAAGCAUAGAUCUAAAUCUUCUCAUGGGCCUGAAUAUAGAACUUUUACUGUAGGAGCCAUUUAGUCUUUACCUGGUAAGGUGUAUAAACUAGUAAACAAGGCCAGAAUAAAAAGGACGCAUUUGAUGGAUUUAAAUUGGUUUAGACGGUUAUAAUUAAAAUCAUAUUAUUUAGUCUAUUUUGAAUUUAGUCUAUUUUGCCUUUUACCAAGUUUGUUUUCGAGUUCCAUUUCAUUUUUAUGGUUUUACAAUGGUUUGGGGGGAAGAGAACGAUAUAGUUUUAAUCCCUGUUUCACUGAUACGGAAAGAGACAGGGGCCUAAAGUCUCUGCAGAGUCAGGGUUACAGGUCUCUGGGUCCCAAAUCAGAAGUCAUAAGUGGGACAGGGUGACCAGGGGCAGACCUGGAGAGCUUUCCUCUUGGAUUCACGGCCUCACGCCCUCCACUUCUGCACAUUCCUGUCACUCGCACUAGGAGUGUUUCUAGUCAGCUGUGUGCGCUAUGUUAGGCAUUUCAAAUAUGUUUCUGGAAGUUGUCAGGGCUGUUCUCUGUGAGGCCUGAAGGCAAAAUUCAAUGUUUGUAGUAAAUAAGUACUAAAAUUAUAGCAGCUAUUGAGAGGAUGGAUUACUUCCAGCUUGCUUAGCCGUAUUGGCUGAGGCUUGACUUCAGCAGUGGUGCCAACAUGCUAUACACAAGAACCCUGUGUUCCCGGGAAUCGCGCUGAACGUGGCGGUGCAGAGUCUGCUGGGCAGGACACCAAGGUGUGGCCAGCAGGGUUCAAGAAGUUUAUGGAGAUGCAACAGAAGGUUCUGGAAACUUUGCUGGGAUGGCACUUCCCUUGGACUAGUUCCUGGAGACGGAUAUAGAGGAGACGGGCAGCAUCAGAAGCUAGACUUACAGUGUUUUACAAACCGUGGGCUCCAAGGAACGUUUGUUCCUGGAAUCAAAGCCACCUCUGUGUGGGAUUCUCUCUUCCCAUCUCUCUAAGUCUCUGUUAUGGGCUGAGUUGUGUUCCUCCAAAAUUCCUACACUGAAGUCCUAACCCCCGGUGUCUGAGAAUGUGACUUUAUUUGGAGACAGGGCCUUUAAAGAGGUAAUUAAGUUUAAACGAGGUCAUUAGGGUGAGCCCUCAUCCAGUAUGACUGCUGUCCUUAGAAGAAGAGGAAAUUAGGACACAGACACGCACAGAGGGAAGACCAUGUGAGGACGCAGGGAGAAGGUGGCCAAGCAAGCCCAAGGAGAAAGACUUCUGCAGAAACCUACCCUGCUGACACCUUGAUUUCAGACGUCCAGCAUCCACAAUUGUGAGGAAAUAAAUGAAUGUUGUCUAAGCCAGCCGGUCCAUGGUACUCUGUUACGGCGGCCCGAGCAACUAAAAGAGUCUCCUUUUGGAUUUAGGGAGCGUGACUGAAGGGCCCAUCCACUCAGAAUCAACGCCAACCAAGUGAAAACCACCAAGCCACUCUGUAAGGAACUAAAACAUCUUGAAAAACAGGAAAGUGACCUGUGAAAUAGCAUCUGGUUUGAAUGGCAUCCAGUAUCUCUUACUAGACAAGAUACACUAGCAUGAUUUCUGGAGAAAAGCCCAAAUACAUGCCCCAAAUAUGUACACCACGGUAAGGAUUGCAUAUAAAUCUUUUUUCGCCUGGCUCGAUGGUGUCCUGUGGAAGGAAUCCAAAUAGUAUGAAACAUGUCUUCAAGUCUUAGUGAGUCAUGCAGCCAAGUUUUAUGGAGUCAAGCUACAAACCUAUCAAUUACUACAAGAAAAAAAUAUUUGCCUAUGUCACCCUUAAUUUUUCUUUAAGCUGCUGUGAGAUAUCUGGUGUUUAGCUUACAGGUUACAUUAUUUGAUGAAGCUCUACAAAAGAUUUAGUUAAAAAAAAAAAAAAGAACCUAAGCACCCAAGACUUGGAACCCAGCAAAUGCAGCUGUUCUGCUUGGUUUCAUCAAUGGUGGCCACGAGGUUGAUGCUGGCGAUGAGAUAAUUUUUACUGAGUGUUUCUCAUGGCAAAGGCACUAAAUUAAGUGCUUGAAAUAGGUGACUUAGCUUUCACAGAAACAGAUAGAUAGGUAAGACGUGGUGUAAGGUAGCUGUUCAGUCUUGGUCCCCGCUGCUACUCAGCCUUGGGAUCUUGAGCAAAGUACUUUACUCUCGUGACUCAGCCUUCUCAUUUCAAAAGUUCGUUGUUAAUGCACGAAGUGCUUGCAAUAGCCCCUGGCACAGGGUAAGGUUUCAGUGAGUGUAGGCUGCUGGUGUUUUUCUUUCUUCCUUUUUUUUUUAAUUUUAUUUUUGGCUGUGUUGGGCCUUCAUUGCUGCGUGUGCGCCUUCUCUAGUUGCAGCGAGCGAGGGCUACUCUACAUUGAGGUGUGUGGGCUUCUCAUCGCGGUAGCUUCUCUUGUUGCGGAGCACGGGCUCUAGGCGUGUGGGCUUCAGUAGUUGUGGCACAUGGGCUUCAGCAGUUGUGGCUCGCGGGCUCUAGAGCGCAGGCUCAGUAGUUGUGGUGCAUGGGCUUAGUUGCUCCGUGACAUGUGGGAUCUUCCUGGACCAGGGAUCGAACCCAUGUCCCUGCAUUGGCAGGUGGAUUCUUAACCACUGCACCACUAUGGACGUCCUGGUGUUUUUCUUAAUGUCUUCAGAUGAGGAAACAAAGGGCAGUAGAGAUGAGAGGCACUUUGCUCAGUACCUCGUGUACCACUGUGGAGGGGAGUCUAGGCAGGCACAGUGCUCAGGCUCUCCAGCACCUCCCAUUUGGUGAUACUGUCCUUUGCAGGUACUUGUGACCUUAUUCUUUCUGGGACACACAUGAGGGUGAUCUUUUUUUUUUUUUUUUUUUGCGGUACGCGGGCCUCUCACUGUUGUGUCCUCUCCCGUUGCGGAGCACAGGCUCCGGAUGUGCAGGCUCGGCGGCCAUGGCUCACGGGCCCAGCCGCUCCGCGGCAUGUGGGAUCUUCCCGGACUGGGGCACGAACCCGCGUCCCCUGCAUCGGCAGGCGGACUCUCAACCACUGCGCCACCAGGGAAGCCCGAGGGUGAUCUUAAUACGUGCUUUCUUUACGUGUUCCCACGCUGGCUUCCCCUAGGAGAGGAGUAACCCUAGUUAACAUUGCUUAUCUCCAACCGUUCAAUUCUCUCUUCUUCUAACCAUUACAAUUUUUAUUCCAUUUUCUUCACAUCCUCAAAUGCCUUAUUUUCUUUUUUCUUUUUUUUGGUACGUGGGCCUCUCACUGCUGUGGCCUCGCCCGUUGCGGAGCACAGGCCCCGGAUGCGCAGGCUCAGCAGCCAUGGCUCACGGGCCCAGCCGCUCCGCGGCAUGUGGGAUCCUCCCGGACCGGGGCACGAACCCGCGUCCCCUGCAUCGGCAGGCGGACUCUCAAACACUGCGCCACCCGGGAAGCCCUCAAAUGCCUUAUUUUGACCAUGCUUCUGCUACGUGGCUGCUUUUGGAAUGUAGAAAUGCCUCGGAUGCUAGGACUCUGAUUCCCAGACAUUUCUUCCAUCGAGGAAACGACUGGCUCCUAUGGGAGAGCCCUGCCCCAGGGCUCUCAGCUUUACCACCACUGCACGGGCUGCUGGUGGUUUAUUCUUCCCAAGAAAUCACUUGCUGUGUAUACACACCUGGCAGGAACUGAACCACCUGCUAAAUGACAGUGUAGACAAGGGGUGGCCGCAAUGCCAUUGUUUCCUGGCUGGCGGUUCUCAGGCACACUUUCUAGAUGUUAAUUCCAAGGGCUUUGUUUGCUCCUUUUGGGGUAAAAGAAAGAGGCAAAAGGCCCAUUGGAAGCUUAGAUUUUGGAAAUGAGUGAGAGCAUAAUGAUGCUAAAGAGAAAGAUGACAUUUUGCUAACAAUGACACAGUGAAGGUGUAGAGUUAUUGUUGAAAUGGGAAAGAAUUGGCUGUUUACUUAAAAGGUGGGAAGGAAGGUUGGGAGUCUACAUAAAAAGGAAAGUGUGAGUUCCAGAGAGCCAUCUGCUUGCUAGUUAUGGAACAAAUAGAAAUAGAAGUUUGCACAUUACAAAGCACUUUCAGUACCCAUGCCUCCAUGCACCCAUGCACCCAUCCAUUUGUUAUCUGUUUAUUCAGCACUUCCCCGCUUCCAUCCUAGGCCCCAAGGAUGCAGAUGUAGAAAAAGGAAAACCUCAGUCCAUUCAGUGGGGCAGGCAUCGCAAAGGGUAAUUACAGUGUGGUGUGGUAGGAGCCAUACAGGGGCCAUUGCUGGGAUGUUGGGGGCAUAGAAGAAGGACUAAGUCAGGAAAUGUAUAUGGAGUAGGAACAUUUCAUUAGGAUCUUGCAGUAUGUGUAGGAGUUUGCUGUGUAGAUGAGAGGAAAGAUUGCAUUUCAGGUACAUGCAAAGCCUGGAGUUACAAACGAAAAGGAAGUGAUCUUGUGAGGUCGGGGGAGGCAGAGCCCUUGGCUUUGACUGGCUCUGUGGGUACUUACAGCCAAGCAGCAUCUGAUUAGGGAGAAUCAGCCCAGCUAAAGUCAGGAGGGGGAGACACUAACUUAAGCCCCCUCGCCGUGCCCUCCUGGGCCUUCCUGAACCUUCCUCCUUUGAUCUGUUGGAGGGAAGGGGCUCUGAAGGUAUUUGUUUAAUGAAAGAGAAAAAUGAAUAACAGUUUAAGAGAGUUGUUCUCACCCAGGGCUGCACUCCGGAAUCUCCUUGGGAAGUUUUUGAGAUUUACGUGGUCAGACCAUUAUCCAGAAGCUCCGACUCAGAGGCCUGGGUGGGCCCAGCGCUGACCCCCUUGACAGAGCUUCUGAGCCCGAGUAGAGGCUGGUAACUAAGCCAGGAAUUCCCAAACUUUCCCAGGCCAGCGCGGAGACACACUGGGACGUCUUUUUCUUCUCCCCCGUCCAUCUGCAGGCCAAGUGCGCAUCGGUCAAAGGCAAACUCUGAAUUGAGCUUUGUGCCAGUCUCUGGAAAGACACCCAAGAGCGUGUGACGGGGAGAGUGACAGUGGCGGUGGCAGCGACAUCUGCAGUGCCAGCCCCGUCCCUAUCUGCACAGAACGCGUGUGGGCACGCUUCAUGAGAACAAUCCAGCCGCCAGAGAAUGGGGCUUUUGACAUCAGCUGCGGCCCGGCUGCCUUACAAUGAGAGGCCUGUUGGUGAAAGGGAGACUGUUUAAUGAACUGAGAAGCAGAGGCCAGCUCUGGCCAUCUGGACUGAGCAUCUUUGGAGCAACUCUUCAUCGUAAAUGGCUACACUGAAGCACGUUGCCUUUCCAAGAAAGCAAUUGCAACAGUAAAUUCGUAUUUCAAAAUUGUGCACAAUAAACUCCUAUUUCAAAAUCGUGAA